CGCACAAGCAUAUUUGUAUCGUCAGGUAAGAGAUAUUUGCAACCAUUUAUCUUGCAUUUGUCAUGCGCCUGCAUAUCUAACAUGUUUGUUUGAUUGCAGCUUGACUUGGCGUGUCAGAGAAAGGGAGAUACAUCCUCAUUGUCUGGGUUUGUUUGGAGCCUAUCCGUGUGGAUGUGGGAGCGGAUCCCGGUUGGACGGCCCGAUUUCAAGAACCCCCUCAUGGCAAACCCACGGGGUAAUCAUGACUGGUUGCAUGAUGAUGAUCCAUAUCGGCGCCCUACGCUUGCUUACUAUUGGGAACAAGUGACAGUCUACACAGGAAGCUCGCAUGUGCGAUACAAGUGC
rnacentral:lncRNA from 1 species